UACGUAGGGACCGAGCGUUGUCCGGAAUCAUUGGGCGUAAAGAGCGUGUAGGCGGCCACUUAAGUCCUGCGUGAAAUCUUGCGGCUCAACCGCAAGCGGUCGUGGGAAACUGGGUGGCUAGAGUGCGGGAGAGGAGAGUGGAAUUCCUGGUGUAGCGGUGGAAUGCGCAGGUAUCAGGAAGAACACCCGUGGCGGAGGCGGCUCUCUGGAACGCAACUGACGCUGAGACGCGAAAGCGUGGGGAGCAAACAGG
rnacentral:rRNA from 1 species